rnacentral:rRNA from 1 species
AACGCUGGCGGCAUGCCUUACACAUGCAAGUCGAACGGCAGCACGGGAGCAAUCCUGGUGGCGAGUGGGCGAACGGGUGAGUAAUAUAUCGGAACGUGCCCGGUCGUGGGGGAUAACGUAGCGAAAGCUACGCUAAUACCGCAUACGAUCUACGGAUGAAAGCGGGGGAUCGCAAGACCUCGCGCGAUUGGAGCGGCCGAUAUCAGAUUAGGUAGUUGGUGAGGUAAAGGCUCACCAAGCCGACGAUCUGUAGCUGGUCUGAGAGGACGACCAGCCACACUGGGACUGAGACACGGCCCAGACUCCUACGGGAGGCAGCAGUGGGGAAUUUUUGGACAAUGGGCGCAAGCCUGAUCCAGCAAUGCCGCGUGCAGGAUGAAGGCCUUCGGGUUGUAAACUGCUUUUGUACGGAACGAAACGGUGAGCUCUAAUACAGUUUGCUAAUGACGGUACCGUAAGAAUAAGCACCGGCUAACUACGUG